UACAGAGGGUGCGAGCGUUAAUCGGAAUUACUGGGCGUAAAGCGUGCGUAGACGGUUAUUUAAGUCGGAUGUGAAAGCCCCGGGCUCAACCUGGGAACGGCGCGCGAAACGGGAGGGCUGGAGUUCGGGAGAGGAGAGUGGAAUUCCCAGUGUAGAGGUGAAAUUCGUAGAUAUUGGGAAGAACACCGGUGGCGAAGGCGGCUCUCUGGACCGAGACUGACGCUGAGGCGCGAAAGCGUGGGGAGCAAACAGG
rnacentral:rRNA from 1 species